GGGAGUGGGAGUGAGAGUCCCUCUUACCAGCCCUCAACUAGGGAGAGCGUAAAAGUUUGUCUCAAGCGUUCCGAGCGCCCCAAGGUGGCCAUGGAAUGGUGUAGCAGAUUGCUGCAGAUGGUUUCAAUAGUUCUGCUGAAUGCUCCUUGUUUGUGCCUGCAAGAGGAACUCAAGGCUUUAUAUAUUAAGCUGUUGUUGAGGAAGGAGCUUUGGCAAUAGAAGAAACCAAGCAGCAGGUUAAUUUCCACUGUUGACACAACUGGAAACGGAUCCCUACUUUAUGCAUUGGAGAUGCUAUGAAGACUACUCUGUCUGAUGUUUCCCUAUUGGGAUAGUGAAGUAUGAUGCUUCAUUGGUUGAGUGUAUGCAAUCAAAGUAAGAGUGAAAAAGGAAGAUCUGAGGAGUGGGCAGAUGCCUGCCGGGUAAACUAUUUGUGGCAUAAACUUGAGGACCCCACAGGAAAGCCAGAUGUUGUCAUGUGCUUCAAACCACAAUUCUGCUAUUGAAUGGGGGAUUACUGGUCAGUGACUAGCCAAAAUGGUGAGCUUCAUGUGCUGAGAGAACUACCUAUCUCAAAAAAAUAAGGUGAAAGGGCUAGAGAGGUGGCAAAGUAGCACUGACUGAUCUCUCAGAGGAGAACGUGGAUUCAACUCCUAGCACCCACAUAGCAGCCAACAACCAUCUGUAACUCCAGUCUCAGGGGAUUUAGUGCCUUCUUAUAUCCUCAGUGAACACUGCACAUAUAUUGUGCAUAGACAUACAUUCAGUCAAACAAACACUCAGACACAUAAAAAUAAAUGAAAUCUCAAAAUAUUUUAAAAAGAUAAUGUGGAGGGUGAUUGAGGCCUUAUAUUAAUCUUUAGACUUUACAAAAUGAGUUUUACACACACACACACACACAGAAAACACACAAACACACUAUAUGUACACACACAUAUAUACACUGACACACACACUUGAAAAAUUGUUAUUGCUUAAAAUUUUUUUGAUAACUUGUCUCAGAAUUUUUAUUAUUGAUUUUAUUAUAAUAUUAAUUUUUAGUCUACAGUAAAUCUUUAUGCUGGAACUAGACUUCAGGAUUAUUAUAAGAUAUAUUUAAUGUAUAAAUUUGAGUUCAUAAUUGUGAGAAUAAUUCUUUUAUGGUUGUGGUAAUAAAGUAUCAUUAUCUUCUUAGAUCUAAUGUAAGAUUCAAA
rnacentral:lncRNA from 1 species